rnacentral:rRNA from 1 species
UACGUAGGGUGCAAGCGUUGUCCGGAAUUAUUGGGCGUAAAGAGCGUGUAGGCGGCCCGAUUAGUCCGCUGUGAAAGUCCAGGGCUCAACCCUGGAAUGCCGGUGGAAACUGUCGGGCUAGAGUCCGGAAGGGGCGAGUGGAAUUCCUGGUGUAGCGGUGAAAUGCGCAGAUAUCAGGAGGAACACCAAUGGCGAAGGCAGCUCGCUGGGACGUGACUGACGCUGAGACGCGAAAGCGUGGGGAGCAAACAGG